rnacentral:lncRNA from 1 species
GGCUGCAAGAUGGCGGCCUCCAUCUUCAUGGGCGCCGUGAGAGCUGCCUCAGGUCAGUGUUCUAUUGACCGGUUCACUGAGAAGAGAACCGGCUCGGGAGGGAGGAGGCGUUUAGUUUGAAUGUUAACGGGGAAAGAAAAAACAAGACGACUUGAGGUCGGAGGUUUGCUGUGCGAUACCUUGCACAAUGUAGUGUCCGUGACCUGCGUUCACUGGAUCCACUCUGCCGUAGGAUACCCGAAACUGAGGAAUAUUACGUCCCCUCAAUGUCUCGGUUUCGUCAACCUAUCGGAACUGUGCCAGGAAUGCCUGUCUUAGUUCUGCGCUGCGCACCAUUCCUUUUAGACAUAUUCAGACAUCAGUUGUUUCCUCUGCUCCAAGGCUUGUCAAGUCUGUCGGACACCUGGCAUAUGGGCACACGGCAUCAGUCCUUAAUAGAGUGGCCACAUUGGUUCCCAGUGUCUUGAAGCCUCCGGUCAGAGCUCUGACGUACUGCAGUGCACGGAAAGGAAAGAGAAAGACAGUGAAGUCGGUUGUGCAUCGCUUCCUCCGACUUCACUCUGGCCUUUGGCUAAGGAGAAAGGCUGGCUAUAAGAAAAAAUUAUGGAAAAAGUCAACUGCAAGAAAGAAGCGCUUGAGGGAAUUCGUGUUCUGCAAUAAGACCCAGAGUAAACUCCUAGAUAAAAUGACGACAUCUUUCUGGAA